GGGCUGCAUGGCCUGCAGGCGGGUUUCGGCCUCGCUGUGGCUGGACAUGGUGGCCUGCAGGGCCUGACGGGCCUGUUCCACCCGGGCUUCGGCCUGC
rnacentral:tRNA from 1 species